UACGGGGGGGGCAAGCGUUGUUCGGAAUUACUGGGCGUAAAGGGCUCGUAGGCGGCCAACUAAGUCAGACGUGAAAUCCCUCGGCUUAACCGGGGAACUGCGUCUGAUACUGGAUGGCUUGAGGUUGGGAGAGGGAUGCGGAAUUCCAGGUGUAGCGGUGAAAUGCGUAGAUAUUGGGAGGAACACCAGUGGCGAAGGCGGCUCACUGGACCGGUACUGACGCUGAUGCGCGAAAGCGUGGGGAGCAAACGGG
rnacentral:rRNA from 1 species